ACGGAAGGCAGCAGUAGGGAAUAUUGCACAAUGGGGGAAACCCUGAUGCAGCAACGCCACGUGUGGGAAGAAGCAUUUCGGUGUGUAAACCACUGUCGUGAGGGAAUAAGGCAUUGUUUCGGCGAUGUUGAAUGUACCUCGAAAGGAAGCACCGGCAAACUUCGUGCCAGCAGCCGCGGUAAUACGAGGGGUGCAAGCGUUGUUCGGAAUCACUGGGCGUAAAGGGAGCGCAGGCGGAGAUGCAAGCGGACUGUACAAUCCCGGGGCCCAACCCCGGACCUGCAGUCCGGACUGCACCUCUUGGAUAGUUCAGGGGCAAGCGGAAUUCCUGGUGUAGCGGUGGAAUGCGUAGAGAUCAGGAAGAACACCGAUGGCGAAGGCAGCUUGCUGGGGACUUAUCGACGCUCAUGCUCGAAAGUGCGGGUAGCAAACAGGAUUAGAUACCCUGGUA
rnacentral:rRNA from 1 species